CAACGGGAGCUAGACUAACCAGGAUUCCCUUGGUAACGGCGAGUGAAGAGGGAAGAGCCCAGCACCGAAGCCUGCGGCAGUUUUGCUGCUAGGCAAUGUGGUGUGUGGGUCGGCUCGCGGGACCAUCACUCCACUCGAAGUCCAGCAUUGAGUAUGGCUUCACUGGAUUUGGCCCAUAGAGGGUGAGAGGCCCGUACGGGUGGAGGUUCAGACAUGUGCGAUGGUUCACCAGGCCGGCCUCAGAGUCGGGUUGUUUGAGAUUGCAGCCCAAAGAGGGUGGUAAACUCCAUCCAAGGCUAAAUACUGCCACGAGUCCGAUAGCGAACAAGUACCAUGAGGGAAAGUUGAAAAGUACUCUGAAGAGAGAGUAAACAGUACGUGAAGCCGCAUGCAGGUAAACGGGUGGCGUCAAGCUGCGAGCCCGGAGGAUUCAGCUGACUGGGAUGUAGUGUACGCGCGCCUGGUGCGUCCAGAGGCCGGAGUAAGAUGUUUGGCGGUCCACUCCUCUCUCGGGAGUGGGGCGCGAUCGAUGUGCGCUUGCGUAUGUCGGUUGUCGCUAUGCAUGCCGGGUGGGUGCCGGAGCAUGCCGCUCGUCUGUUGGGCUACCUAGUCAGUGCAUUUUCUCCGUGGUGAACACCACGACCGGUGGGACUGCCAGUCUGCUGCGAGCAAGUCGUGUCCUCCUGAUUACCUUGUGUGUUGUGUGGGCGCGAUCGCAGGCGGAAUGGGUGAACGGCGCAGUGGUACCUCGGUGCUGCCGCGUGUUAUCGUGCACUCUCCGUUGUAAGCGGUUAGUGGAUUAGUGCUGUGACUACUUGCCCUCUGAUCGGCGAUUCGUAGUGCUGAAAGUAACUGUGCAGGGCACGGGAGUUCUCGACCUCAUUCAAUAGGGUACUCGGCACGCACGUCAUAGGUCCUGUUGAAUCGGGAAUGCACCGCUUUCUGCCUAGAGUAGGGCCUGACUGUCGUGUUGCCUGGCCAAAGUGGGUCCGGCGGAGCUUUCAUGCUGGGUAGAUCUGCCCUGGUUCCGAGUCUCGGGGGACUGCCAACCCGGGGUCAAAAAUUCCGAGGGGCUUGGGGAGAAAACUACCCCCACCCUCUUGAAUCCCGCACCAAGGAAUUUAAACCGGUCCGGAUACAAGGGGCCCUAAAACCCCCGGGCCCCCUUAAAAAAAAAUUUUUUGACCUUUCCCCCAGAAACGGGGGCGAGGGGGGAGGGGGGAAAUUUUUUUUUUUUUAGAAAUAACCCCCAAAUUUUUUGGGGGGUUUUAAAAACGGGGCUAAAAGGCCCUCCGGGCCCCUUCCAAAGUUGAAACCGGCCCCUUUGGCCGUUGGACAA
rnacentral:rRNA from 1 species